UUGGACCUUUAAAGAACAAGAAGCGGUGAUC
rnacentral:piRNA from 1 species